ACAAGUCGGCAUCCAUCUGA
rnacentral:misc_RNA from 1 species